GUGUGUAUGGAGUGUUUAUCUAUUACUUAGUCAAAUACUGAAACACGGUUAUGCCUCGGCUUUGUAUUACAUCACUGCCAGUGAAAUUCACUCAAAUCAGGACGAAGUUGAUGAUAAAGUAAACACAUUUCCAAGUCAUAAAAUACUAAAAGCACACUACUCAGAAGGAUUAAAAUGAAACCUUUAUAUUUUUAUUUCCAAUUGUAUAAAAAUGAAUGUAAGCUCCAUAGGGGCAGAGACCUUGUUUUUCUUAUCCACCUCUAUUUUCAGAGCCUCAAAUAUGUCUGACACCUAGUAGUUAUAUAAGUGUUAAAUGUCAACAUGGUAGAGAUGGGGAAAGUCUAGGUUUGAAUCACCACUCUGACACUUUAAAGUUGAAGAACCUUGGACGAGUCACUUAAAUCCUCUUGACCCUCAGUUUCUUCUUCUGUAAAAGAGGAAUAAUAUUUUAGUCUCCAUUUUUCCAGUAUGUUUUUUACAAACACCACCAAGCAGUUUUCCAGUUCUCAGCAGCCACUGUCUGAGAUGUCCUACAAUAUAAUUCAAUUCUGACACUGUUUAGCUGGAGAUAGUGUCAGAUCCCACAGGUUAAAUCUCAGUCCAACAAGACUCCCCACCAACCCUCUUCAGGCACCAGUAGCAAGUACGGGUUAAAUCGGAUGUCCCCAUGACCCCCUCUUCAGUUUGCUAGAGUGGCUAACAGAACUCAGAGAAACAUUUACUUAUAUUUACUGGUUUGUUAUAAAAGGCUCUAACUCAGAAAUAGGGUAAAGUAUGUAAGUUAAGUUAGUUAAGUCGCUCAGUCAUGUCCAACUCUUUGCAACCCCGUGGACUGUACCCUACCAGGCUCCUCCAUCCAUGGGAUUCUCCAGGCAAGAAUACUGGAGUGGGUUGCCAUUUCCUUCUCCAGGGGGAUCUUCCCGACCCAGGGAUCGAUCCCAGGUCUCCCACAUUGCAGGCAGACGCUUUAACCUCUGAGCCACCAGGGAAGCUCUCGUAAAGUAUGUAGGUCUCCCGCAUUGCGGGCAGAUGCUUUAACCUCUGAGCCACCAGGGAAGCUCUCGUAAAGUAUGUAGGAAGGAGGGAAAGUGUGGAGUUUCCAAGUUCUCUGUGCUCACCAACAUAGAAGCUCAACUCUUGUUGUUCAAGAGUUUCUACAGAGCUUAAUCUAUAGCCUCCCCUACUUUCCCCUUCCCACAGGUUAGUGCCCCAUCCUGAAGUUAUCUAGGGACCCCACCCUGAGUCACUUCAUUAGAAUAAACUUUAGUGCUCAAAAGAGACUUCUACUGAAAGACAAAAGGCUCUCCUAUCAGAAAACUCCCAAGAGUUUUCUUUAGAUGGCUCUGUGCCAGAAACCCAGGACUAAGACCACAUAUAUUACUAUAUCACACUUACAGCUCUGCUCUGAGAGUCAAAUAAGAUACGUAUGUAAAGUUACUGUAAAAGUCUAUCACAUUACUUAAAAACCAUUAUUGUAAUACUGACAAUGCUAUAAUAAAACAUUGUCUGGUAGAGAUCCCUAGU
ensembl:lncRNA